UGAUUCUUAGCUCCUACAUAAUUUGUGC
rnacentral:piRNA from 1 species